CCCCCAACUAAUGAGAGCACAAACCAACCACCAAAGCAUCAUAUACUGGAAUUCCAUCCAAGUCAGAUUUUUGGUGAUCCGGCUGAUCGAAUACCAAUAGAAGAUUAUGCCCCUGAAAUUCGAAGUGAAGUGAGGAGAGCUUAUUUGUUGAAACAAAGAAACAAAGCUAUCGGGCAUAAAUUUGAAGUGGGAUUGGACGGUAAAAUUUGGAGAUCCUUUCAACCACAAUGGCUAGAUAAGUUUGAUUGGUUGGAAUAUAGUGUGAAAAAGGAGGCUGCCUUUUGUUUCCCUUGUUUUCUUUUCAAGAAUCCAUCACAAGAAGCUAGAUUUGGCAAUGAUAUAUUUACAGUAGAUGGUUACAAGCGUUGGAAAACUGCUUUGGGAAAUUUUAAGAAACAUGUUGGUGGUCCAUCUAGUUACCACAACAUUGUUGUGGGCUUAUGUGUUGAUUUCAACAAUCAAAGGGCCAAUGUGGCUACCAGAAUGCGAGUUUACAAUAAAGAGGCUGAUAUAAAAUAUAAAAUCCGCUUGACUGCAUCAUUGGAUUGUGCAAGGUAUCUCAUAGCUCAAGGGGAAGCUUUUCGUGGACAUGAUGAAUCUUCCAAUUCCACCAACAAAGGCAAUUUCAGGGAGUUCUUGGACUAGUAUAAGGACAAGAAUAAGGAUGUGAAAGAUGCAUUUGAUAAGGGGCAAGGCAAUGCACUUAUGAUAUGUCCAGAUAUUCAAAAAGACCUUGCUACAUGUUGUGCAUUGGAGGCAACCAAAGUCAUCAAGGAUGAGCUUGGAGAUAAGAAAUUCUCGAUACUUAUUGAUGAGGCUAGAGAUUGCUCAAUAAAGGAGGAAAUGGCAAUAAUUUUGAGAUUUUUAGAUGAUCACGGAGAACUUCAAGAGAGAUUUCUUGCUAUUAAGCACAUCACAGAUUGUACAUCUACCGGAAUUAAAGAAGCAUUGGUUCAUGUGUUGGAGUACCAUGGCCUGCCUAUUAAUAGGCUACGUGGACAGGGUUACGACAGGGCUUCAAAUAUGAGAGGUGAAUUCAACGGUUUGCAAAAGCUAAUUCGUGAUGAGAGUCCAUAUGCUUUCUUUGUUCACUGCUUUGCCCAUCAGUUGCAGUUAGUGGUUGUCACAGUGGCUCAGUGUUGUCCAGUUAUUGCUGAUUUUUUCAACUACCUUCCCUUGAUAGUUACUCAGGUGGGUUCAUCUUGCAAAAGGAAGGAUGCAUUGCUUGCAAAACAUCAAGACACCUUGAUAGAAAUGAUGGAAAAUUGUAAGAUAUCAUCUAGAACUUGGUUACAUCAAGAAACUAACCUAGCUAGACCAGGAGCUACUCGUUGGGGCUCACAUCUUAGAACAUUGCUUCAUAUGUACACAAUGUGGAAUGCAGUGGUGGAUGUGCUUGCAAUUGUGGUUGACGAUGCCCGGGAACACACUUCUCAAGGUGGAGCUUCAGGUUUGACCAUACAGAUGGAAUGCUUCCAGUUUGUGUUCAUCAUGCUAUUCUUAAUAAACUUGUUGAGCAUCACUAAUUUGCUAUCACAAGCUUUGCAAAGAAAGAAACAAGAUGUUGUUGAAGCCAUGCGUUUGAUCUUGGAUGUGAAAGAAGCUUUGCAAAAUAUGAGGGACAAUGGGUAUGAGUCAUUAUGCGACCAAGCAAACAACUUCUGUGAGGAACAUGGCAUUGAGGUGCCAAAUAUGGAUGAUCUUGUAGGAGCUAUGGGGCAAUUUGUUCGCAGCAAGAAUAAGGUGACUCGACAUCAUUAUUUCAAGGUUAGCAUAUUCAAUGUUGCUCUUGAUGCAACUCUCACCGAUUCAAUGAAGUUAACACCGAGUUAG
rnacentral:rRNA from 1 species